CCUGCGCUGUAUAAGAAAGCUAGCUGACCUGGAGCAAGCCAGCAAGCAGAGUCCCUCCAUGGUUUCAGCUUCAAGACCUUGCUGGAGUUCCUGCCCUGACCUCCCUCGACGACCUGAAAGUUGAAGUCAAAUAAAACCCUUACCCCCACCCCCUACAACCACUUUUCAUCCGAGUGCUUUAUCACAGCAACAGGAAAGAACCAGUUCAGACCACGAGUCAGUGAGAGGACUCAGGUUUCACCAGCUCAACGUACCCGCACCUGAGUGCACACCUUCUGGCUCUGCUGGCUCUGACAUGCUCUUAAAGUGACAGUGACCUAGGCGGGCACAAGAGAAGGAAUGUGGACAGUCUGCAUUAUCUGGAAAGCGGCACGCGGCAUUUCUGCCUGUAUUCCAUGUACAAGAAGAAAUGCUAAAGACCCAGUGGGUUAUAAAGGAGUUCAGCGGUGGGAACAGGAAAAAAAAAAAAAAAAAAAAAAAAAAAAAAAAAAAGAGGAAGGACUUAAUACUGAUGAAAAUCAACGGCUUCUCACAGGAUCAAGAGGAUGAUCAGAAGGCAAAAGGUAUGGACUCUGCAGCCCAUGUCCUGUGCAAGCUCCCUUCCCCCACCUAGCAACCAAACAGAAGGUUCUAAGUCAAGAAAAAAGAACAGAGAGAGCUACAGGAUGAAAUAAACCGAACACCUCGGUAAUGCCCCUGCCUCAGCCGCUCCACACCAGACGAAGACCCCUGAUGAGUACAGAGAACUUAAGGGUGAACCCCUUUCUGUGAAGCUUGGGAGACAAAAGAAGAAUGAAAGAAAUCAGGCUCGCCAGAGAAGGGCCCCAUGUGUGACCCCAUCCCCAACAUGCGCUUAGCACCUGAAGAGAGGCUGAAUGUGCACCUGUCAGAGGAAUGAAGAGCAGUGUGGGUGUGUGAACUGCAAUGCAUGUGCAAGACCGAAGGGCAGCCUGGGUGCCUGGCUGCGCAUGUGCAGAAUCAAAAUUCAAAGAAGUUCCUGAGAAACCAGGAAAUAUAACACACAGUUCAAGCCACCAAACACGACUUUCCCAUGAACUAAGUUUCGCCUGAUUCUAUCGUUUUCCCAGAGGACCAGCAGCCAUUUCUGGUUUCAUUCAGUUCCUUUCUUAUUUUAUUUCUAAUUUGUUUUUUUAAAAACAUCCCAUCUAUUGGAUGAAUGCACAUUUAGCAAACAGGAAUAAACGGGCAUCUCUCAUUAGAACAAGAUGGCUUUCAUCUUUCUCCUGGACUUUAGUCCUGUUUUUCUACUUGAUGCUCAUCACUGCGUCCCAGGGAACAAAGACUUAGGGAAAACGCUGCUGUUUUGGAGUUUCCUCUUGGGAGCCCUGUGGAGUUAGGCAGAGGACACUCUGGCUGUUGUCUCAUUCUGAGAGGAAAGAAGGGAGCUCUCUCGGGUGCUUGCAAAUACCUGCUCUUUUUUAACAUGUUCACCCCAAUUUCCACUCUUUCUGCCUCGUACACAGCUAGCCUGCUCUGGAAUUAAAUAAAUAAAUAUAUACGUGUGUGCAUGUG